CCCUUAGAUGUCCUGGGCUGCACGCGCGCUACACUGAUGUGUCCAGUAAGCACCUAACCUCUUCCGAAAGGAACGGGUAACCUUUGCAAAGCACAUCGUGAUGGGGAUAGAUUAUUGCAAUUAUUAGUCUUGAACGAGGAAUUCCUAGUAAGCACAAGUCAUCAGCUUGUGUUGAUUACGUCCCUGCCCUUUGUACACACCGCCCGUCGCUCCUACCGUUUGAAUGUUCCGGUGAGCUCUUCGGACUGCGCGGUCUGCAGUUUCUGCGUUCCGUGCGGAAAGUUGCGCAAACCUUAACAUUUAGAGGAAGGAGAAGUCGUAACA
rnacentral:rRNA from 1 species